AUGAAUGGUGAGCGAAGAGUCCAUUGGAUAUCAUGGCAGAAGAUGUGUGCUAGUAAGAGAGAUGGUGGCAUGGGGUUCCGAAACUUCGAGGCUUUCAACCAAGCUUUGCUGGCCAAGCAAGAUUGGCGUAUUUUGCAAUUUCCAUCCACUCUUUGUGCAAGAGUCCUCAAGGCUCGCUACUUCAAGGAGGACACGAUCCCCUCUGCUUCCUGUCCGGCGUCGGGCUCUUUCACUUUUCGAAGCAUCCUGCACGGGCGUGACCUGCUCCGGGAGGGCAUCAUAUGGAGAGUGGGCUCGGGGAUGAACAUUAAUAUCCACCAUGACGCCUGGAUUCCUCGCAGUGGCAGCACGAGACCCCUUGGGCAACAUUAUAUGCAUGGGAUUACCAAGGUAGCUCACUUGAUCAACCCGGACGGGAUAUCCUGGAAUGAAGAUGUGGUUAAGCAAAUGUUUUCAGAGGACGAUGCGACUGAUGUAAUGCAGAUAGCUAUCGGUGGACCGGAGACAGAGGAUUUCCUAGCUUGGAACUACACAAGAAACGGGGUCCUUUCAAUUAAGUCCACAUAUCAUCUUAGAAUGGCCAUAGACAGAGCGAGGGCCGGACAGCCGGAGUCCUCGAGCUCGGUUGCGAAGCACAAGGGCUACAUGCCACUUUGGGAAACGAGUGCACCCGGGAAAACAAAGAUCCAUAUGUGGCGCAUGAUACGGAAUGGCCUUGUGGUGGGAGCUGAACUUCAUUGCCGAAGAAUCAAGCCGGGAGUUUUUUGUGUGGUGUGUGCUCGAGAAUAG
rnacentral:rRNA from 1 species